ACAACCCACGUACACACGUCCCACCCUCACUUCCCUUUCCCCAAAUCGCUCGCUACUGAUCCCAUGCCUAUGAGUCGCCGCCGCCGACUUAUUCUUGUCUACGGCGACCUCAAGCGGCAGCCAAGGAGCUGCUCGACGCGGGGAGGGCCGAGGACGAAGCGGCGCAGUGGCGACAACGACGGGCGACCUCAACUGGCAGUAUACUGCAGCGAAAGGAAGAGCUAGACGUGGGGAGGGCGAUGAGCAGGAGCGGCGCGGUGGCGACAACGAUGGACGACGCCCCAGCUCGAUUGGAUUAUCAUGAUCUAAGUAGCGAUGCCGCGGUGUCAUCGUGGUUGGAGGAGACAACUCAUAUGAACAUGCCAAGGAGACCGAUCAUACUACUUUAUGCAAUGAGCAUUUGUAUUCCGAUAACUACGAUGCUUGGAUUUCCACUUGGGACGAAGCGAACACUUAUUCAUCGGUAUUCCAAAUUAUAUCACUUGGUUGUAGUAUCAUGGUGCUAAUUAGAUAAUCUCUUGACUGGUUUUGACUCUACGCCAAUAGUUCAGCAUCUUUUGUUUUCAUAAGUCUUAAAAGGAAUCAUUAAAAAUUGGCAGAUGGGCAGUAAAGUGUCAAACCCAGAGGCCCUCUGCCAUCUUGUGGGUAAAACUGCAUUGUAAAACUAAAAAAUGAAUCAUAUUUAGCAAUGUGCCCACCCUCAAAUUGUUUCUUGUUAUAUUAAUGUGCAGACUACCAGAUUGCAAAUUUUCCGAUCAUGAUAUGUUUCUAAGAGAUGAUGCAUGAUUGCAGAUGGCUACCAAAUUGGAAAAUUAUUAACCUUCAGUAAAUAUAGAUGUACUUCAUGCGUGCAAGUUUGAUGCAUGAUUGCAGGUGCAUGCAGGCUCAGUUUGUGCAAGGCAAGUGUGUGCGUAUAUCAAGAAUGAUUACUUUAUUUUCAGAUGGCACCUGCAAUGCUCAUACCAAGUGCGUGCAUAAAUUAGUAUCAUGUUGCGUGCACAUUGAGCUUAUAAUCUUAUCUGAAUAAUUUGUCAUAUUUCUCACACAAACCCAUCCAUUUAUCUCUCUUUCUCUAUCUCACACGCACUUAACCCAUCCAUUUAUCUCUCUGCUAAUUCUCCACUUGGGUACAAGUCGCUCGAGGUUGCUACUGCAGGAACAUGAUUUGCCCAUCAAUCUCUUGGAGUGAUUCGACCCUUGGAAACAUAACCUGCUACUUCACUCGGCGCAAGGAACUGGGUAAUAAGUUACAGUUUUCGUUUCCAAUUCUGUUGCUGAUUGAUUAGGCAUUACUCAUCUAUGUUAUACUGAUAGUUAAGGAUUUGCUGCAAUUACAGAACUAAGAACUUAGGUUUCAGAAUGAAUAGAACAUUGAUUAUGCUAAAACUAAAAUAAAUCUUGAUCUGCUUCAGAUGCCCACAAACUGUUUCAGAUGCCCACAAACUGUUGAGAGUGAUUGGUUCAAAGGUCAACACAAACAUUGUCAAACCUUUUUUUACGAAGAAACCUUAAUAUUUAAACUGGUUCAGAAACUAGAAUUCUGUAAUACAAUGUACUCAUAUAUGACUUACAUGCAUCUAUGAGCCAUAUGUUCCUUCUAAGUGAUUGUCAGUUUCUUCCUUUCUUGAUUAAUGUGUAUAUGAUAUGCAAAAGUAAACUGUUAUAUAUCCCAUAUGUUCAUGUUUAUCAGGACCCAUCAAGUUGUCCUAUCCAAAUUCAGAGGGUCGAUUUAAAAAAAAUCAGAAUAAGAACUCUGAAGACUUGAACAAUCCUUUUCACAAACGGAUUGAGAUGAAAUUGCGUGCUUUAUCUGAUAGGUUCUCUCAUUUUAAUUAUUAUCAUUGUGUGUUGAUUAUAUGAGGUGUUAGCUCUUCCUGGACCUCUCAUCAUUUCACCUGUAGCUAAUGAAGCUUAGUGGAAAGCAUCAAUAAAUAAUUGUUGGCAUAUUUGAUAAUUUUAGAUAGUUGCUGAGGCAAACAUGCUGGUCCUCAGGUUAAAAUACAUUUUUUGCCUGAUCUUUGUAUAGGUGGUAUGACUAUAACUGAACCAUGUGUUCUUUUAUAUCAUAUAACUCAAUCAUGAGUUUGUUUCAUAUUUUAAACCUACAUGAAAGGAAGUGUGCUUGUUGACGAUGGUUAUUGUUGCUGAAUCCAUAUCCUGGUUCAGACUCAUAUUUUGUUAUUCUUAGGUGGCGGACUUGUACGGCAUGGCUUUGGCUCGUCAGGCAAUAUUGGUCCAAUAUGGGUCUUACCAUCGCAGUGUUGCAAGGCCUAUGUAUUGCCUCGCCCUUUUCCACUGCUCAAACAGUCAUCUACUGCAAAAGGUACAAAGAAUAGGCUUCAGUUUGUUGUUACUCACAACUCACAAGCAGAUGACAAUCUUUCUUUCAGUGAAUAGAGUAGCUUUUACUCUUCCAGUAUCCCUUGACAAUUGACACGAGCGCAGCCUCAAGGAUGUAAGAUUAUUUGUUCUUCCUUGUAGUCUGUGAUGAGACGCAUGCUACUUGUACAUAAAUGCUAAUACAUAUCUUCUUUAUACGUAAA